rnacentral:tRNA from 1 species
GCCGGAGUAGCUCAGCGGUAGAGCAACGCUCUUGUAAAGCGUGGGUCGGGGGUUCGACUCCCCCCUCCGGCU